rnacentral:lncRNA from 1 species
CUCAUGUGGAUGGCAGUGACCUCUGGGAGUCCGUUCAUUUACCCAUCCAUUCAGUCCACUCACAUUAUGGAGCCCUGUGAUAUGCCAAGGAAUCAAAUAAAGAAGCUCGCUGCUUCUGUGAACUUUCAGCCUGGCGGAGGAGGCAGACCAGCAGGACACGGAUGCUUAUGUAAUGGUACUAUAAGGUCAAGGAAGGAGAAGCACAAGGUGCUAUGAAAACAAAUAGCGAGAGUGGUCAGGGGUUAGAAAAAUUUCCAUGAAGGAAAGCUGAACCCCCUGAGGGAUUAGCCAAAUGCAAGGGGUGGGAGCCUAGGGACACCCAAGCAGGAAGCAGCAGCAUGAGUGAAGGGAGGAACAGUCAAGGAAAUCUCAACGAAAUGAAGUAAGCUCCGCGUAAGAGUGAGCAAAGUGCACCUGUAUUGCAUUAUAUUCUCGAGAACUG